UUCAUGACUGCAAAUCGGUCUUUCCAAAAUAAUAUUCCUAAUGAUAGCUACUGUUUACGGAGUGCUUCCUCUGCGUGCCGGGCCUGCACUUGCUGAGCACCGUGCAUCCGAUAGCCAUAAUCAACUAAAUUUACUUCAUGCUUACCAACGGGUUGCUGUGGAUGGUCUGAAGAAAACCACUGAUAGUACUCAGUGUGCAAGUUCUGCAGCCAGCCUAUCCAGGUUUGAUCUGAGCUCUCCUAAUUAUUAGCUGUGUGAUUGGGGAAAUUACCUAGCGUGUUCAGCCUCGGUUUACUCAUCUGCAAAAAUGGAGAUAAUAAGAGUUAC
rnacentral:lncRNA from 1 species